rnacentral:rRNA from 1 species
AUACCCUGGUAGUCCACGCCGUAAACGAUGUCGACUUGGAGGUUGUGCCCUUGAGGCGUGGCUUCCGGAGCUAACGCGUUAAGUCGACCGCCUGGGGAGUACGGCCGCAAGGUUAAAACUCAAAUGAAUUGACGGGGGCCCGCACAAGCGGUGGAGCAUGUGGUUUAAUUCGAUGCAACGCGAAGAACCUUACCUACUCUUGACAUCCAGAGAACUUAGCAGAGAUGCUUUGGUGCCUUCGGGAACUCUGAGACAGGUGCUGCAUGGCUGUCGUCAGCUCGUGUUGUGAAAUGUUGGGUUAAGUCCCGCAACGAGCGCAACCCUUAUCCUUUGUUGCCAGCGGUUAGGCCGGGAACUCAAAGGAGACUGCCAGUGAUAAACUGGAGGAAGGUGGGGAUGACGUCAAGUCAUCAUGGCCCUUACGAGUAGGGCUACACACGUGCUACAAUGGCGCAUACAAAGAGAAGCGACCUCGCGAGAGCAAGCGGACCUCAUAAACUGCGUCGUAGUCCGGAUUGGAGUCUGCAACUCGACUCCAUGAAGUUGGAAUCGCUAGUAAUCGUAGAUCAGAAUUAUACGG